CCUUUCUUGCGCUCGCUGCGGCAAUUAGAAGAACAGGAGGCACGGGCGGGGUCAUCGGAAGCGUAACCGGAGGCGGCGGAGGCGGAGUGGUGGUGGUCGACUAGCGGAUCGCCGCAUGGCGACGCGGCGGCACCGGCGGCGGGGGAGGACGACGCGGCGCACGCGGCGGCGGAGGUGGAGGAGGAAGGAAGGCACCCCAUGCUCGCGCUCUUCUUCAUGGCCGCCACCCCCUCCGCCAGCCGCACCCCAAAGAGCCGCACGCCCCCUCCCCGCGCCGGACACGUCCGGGAGUUGUGGCCGUUGUUGCUGCAGUGCGAG
rnacentral:lncRNA from 1 species